GGGCCCGCACAAGCAGUGGAGCAUGUGGUUUAAUUCGAUGCAACGCGAAGAACCUUACCAGGGUUUGACAUCCUGCGAAUCUCUUGGAAACGAGAGAGUGCCUUCGGGAACGCAGUGACAGGUGGUGCAUGGCUGUCGUCAGCUCGUGUCGUGAGAUGUUGGGUUAAGUCCCGCAACGAGCGCAACCCACGUCUUUAGUUGCCAGCAUUUAGUUGGGCACUCUAGAGAGACUGCCGGUGAUAAACCGGAGGAAGGUGUGGAUGACGUCAAGUCAUCAUGCCCCUUACAUCCUGGGCUACACACGUACUACAAUGCUACGGACAAAGGGCAGCAAACUCGCGAGAGCUAGCAAAUCCCAUAAACCGUGGCUCAGUUCAGAUCGUAGGCUGCAACUCGCCUACGUGAAGGAGGAAUCGCUAGUAAUCG
rnacentral:rRNA from 1 species